rnacentral:rRNA from 1 species
AGAGUUUGAUCAUGGCUCAGAUUGAACGCUGGCGGCAGGCCUAACACAUGCAAGUCGAACGGUAACAGGAAACAGCUUGCUGUUCCGCUGACGAGUGGCGGACGGGUGAGUAAUGUCUGGGAAACUGCCUGAUGGAGGGGGAUAACUACUGGAAACGGUAGCUAAUACCGCAUAACGUCGCAAGACCAAAGAGGGGGACCCUCGGGCCUCUUGCCAUCGGAUGUGCCAGAUGGGAUUAGCUUGUUGGUGGGGUAACGGCUCACCAAGGCGACGAUCCCUAGCUGGUCUGAGAGGAUGACCAGCCACACUGGAACUGAGACACGGUCCAGACUCCUACAGGAGGCAGCAGUGGGGAAUAUUGCACAAUGGGCGCAAGCCUGAUGCAGCCAUGCCGCGUGUAUGAAGAAGGCCUUCGGGUUGUAAAGUACUUUCAGCGGGGAGGAAGGGAGUAAAGUUAAUACCUUUGCUCAUUGACGUUACCCGCAGAAGAAGCACCGGCUAACUCCGUGCCAGCAGCCGCGGUAAUACGGAGGGUGCAAGCGUUAAUCGGAAUUACUGGGCGUAAAGCGCACGCAGGCGGUUUGUUAAGUCAGAUGUGAAAUCCCCGGGCUCAACCUGGGAACUGCAUCUGAUACUGGCAAGCUUGAGUCUCGUAGAGGGGGGUAGAAUUCCAGGUGUAGCGGUGAAAUGCGUAGAGAUCUGGAGGAAUACCGGUGGCGAAGGCGGCCCCCUGGACGAAGACUGACGCUCAGGUGCGAAAGCGUGGGGAGCAAACAGGAUUAGAUACCCUGGUAGUCCACGCCGUAAACGAUGUCGACUUGGAGGUUGUGCCCUUGAGGCGUGGCUUCCGGAGCUAACGCGUUAAGUCGACCGCCUGGGGAGUACGGCCGCAAGGUUAAAACUCAAAUGAAUUGACGGGGGCCCGCACAAGCGGUGGAGCAUGUGGUUUAAUUCGAUGCAACGCGAAGAACCUUACCUGGUCUUGACAUCCACGGAAGUUUUCAGAGAUGAGAAUGUGCCUUCGGGAACCGCGAGACAGGUGCUGCAUGGCUGUCGUCAGCUCGUGUUGUGAAAUGUUGGGUUAAGUCCCGCAACGAGCGCAACCCUUAUCCUUUGUUGCCAGCGGUCCGGCCGGGAACUCAAAGGAGACUGCCAGUGAUAAACUGGAGGAAGGUGGGGAUGACGUCAAGUCAUCAUGGCCCUUACGACCAGGGCUACACACGUGCUACAAUGGCGCAUACAAAGAGAAGCGACCUCGCGAGAGCAAGCGGACCUCAUAAAGUGCGUCGUAGUCCGGAUUGGAGUCUGCAACUCGACUCCAUGAAGUCGGAAUCGCUAGUAAUCGUGGAUCAGAAUGCCACGGUGAAUACGUUCCCGGGCCUUGUACACACCGCCCGUCACACCAUGGGAGUGGGUUGCAAAAGAAGUAGGUAGCUUAACCUUCGGGAGGGCGCUUACCACUUUGUGAUUCAUGACUGGGGUGAAGUCGUAACAAGGUA